UUUCAAUUAAGUUGGCCAGUGUACUUAUCAAGGAAAGGAUCGAUCAAGUGAGGUAGACAAUGGGGUUAAGAAACCAGAAUUUUCAAGGAAUCCAGCUGAGGGUGCUGUGAUCAUUUGCUUCACUUAUGGGAAAGGAUCGAUAUCCUGGAAAUCAACCAUCCCGAAAGUCCUGUUGGCACAAAGUCCAGA